AACGCACCUUGCGCCCUUUGGCUAUUCCGAAGGGCAUGCCUGUUUGAGUAUCAUGAACACCUCAACUCUCAUGGCUUGCCAUGAUGAGCUUGGACUUUGGGGGUCUUGCUGGCCUGCGGUCGGCUCCUCUCAAAUGAAUCAGCUUUCCAGUGUUUGGUGGCAUCACGGGUGUGAUAAAUAUCUACGCUUGUGGUUUCCUGCCAGGUAACCUUCAGUGAUGGAGGUUCACUGGGGCUCAUAAAUGUCUCUCCUCAGCGAAGACAGCUUUGUAAAUGUUUGAUCUCAAAUCAGGUAGGACUACCCGCUGAACUUAA
rnacentral:misc_RNA from 1 species